rnacentral:rRNA from 1 species
ACCGAUAGUGAACCAGUACCGUGAGGGAAAGGCGAAAAGAACCCCGGCGAGGGGAGUGAAAAAGAACCUGAAACCGUGUACGUACAAGCAGUGGGAGCACGCUUAGGCGUGUGACUGCGUACCUUUUGUAUAAUGGGUCAGCGACUUAUAUUCUGUAGCAAGGUUAACCGAAUAGGGGAGCCGAAGGGAAACCGAGUCUUAACUGGGCGUUAAGUUGCAGGGUAUAGACCCGAAACCCGGUGAUCUAGCCAUGGGCAGGUUGAAGGUUGGGUAACACUAACUGGAGGACCGAACCGACUAAUGUUGAAAAAUUAGCGGAUGACUUGUGGCUGGGGGUGAAAGGCCAAUCAAACCGGGAGAUAGCUGGUUCUCCCCGAAAGCUAUUUAGGUAGCGCCUCGUGAAUUCAUCUCCGGGGGUAGAGCACUGUUUCGGCAAGGGGGUCAUCCCGACUUACCAACCCGAUGCAAACUGCGAAUACCGGAGAAUGUUAUCACGGGAGACACACGGCGGGUGCUAACGUCCGUCGUGAAGAGGGAAACAACCCAGACCGCCAGCUAAGGUCCCAAAGUCAUGGUUAAGUGGGAAACGAUGUGGGAAGGCCCAGACAGCCAGGAUGUUGGCUUAGAAGCAGCCAUCAUUUAAAGAAAGCGUAAUAGCUCACUGGUCGAGUCGGCCUGCGCGGAAGAUGUAACGGGGCUAAACCAUGCACCGAAGCUGCGGCAGCGACGCUGAUGCGUUGUUGGGUAGGGGAGCGUUCUGUAAGCCUGCGAAGGUGUGCUGUGAGGCAUGCUGGAGGUAUCAGAAGUGCGAAUGCUGACAUAAGUAACGAUAAAGCGGGUGAAAAGCCCGCUCGCCGGAAGACCAAGGGUUCCUGUCCAACGUUAAUCGGGGCAGGGUGAGUCGACCCCUAAGGCGAGGCCGAAAGGCGUAGUCGAUGGGAAACAGGUUAAUAUUCCUGUACUUGGUGUUACUGCGAAGGGGGGACGGAGAAGGCUAUGUUGGCCGGGCGACGGUUGUCCCGGUUUAAGCGUGUAGGCUGGUUUUCCAGGCAAAUCCGGAAAAUCAAGGCUGAGGCGUGAUGACGAGGCACUACGGUGCUGAAGCAACAAAUGCCCUGCUUCCAGGAAAAGCCUCUAAGCAUCAGGUAACAUCAAAUCGUACCCCAAACCGACACAGGUGGUCAGGUAGAGAAUAUCAAGGCGCUUGAGAGAACUCGGGUGAAGGAACUAGGCAAAAUGGUGCCGUAACUUCGGGAGAAGGCACGCUGAUAUGUAGGUGAAGUCCCUUGCGGAUGGAGCUGAAAUCAGUCGAAGAUACCAGCUGGCUGCAACUGUUUAUUAAAAACACAGCACUGUGCAAACACGAAAGUGGACGUAUACGGUGUGACGCCUGCCCGGUGCCGGAAGGUUAAUUGAUGGGGUCAGCGCAAGCGAAGCUCUUGAUCGAAGCCCCGGUAAACGGCGGCCGUAACUAUAACGGUCCUAAGGUAGCGAAAUUCCUUGUCGGGUAAGUUCCGACCUGCACGAAUGGCGUAAUGAUGGCCAGGCUGUCUCCACCCGAGACUCAGUGAAAUUGAACUCGCUGUGAAGAUGCAGUGUACCCGCGGCAAGACGGAAAGACCCCGUGAACCUUUACUAUAGCUUGACACUGAACAUUGAGCCUUGAUGUGUAGGAUAGGUGGGAGGCUUUGAAGUGUGGACGCCAGUCUGCAUGGAGCCGACCUUGAAAUACCACCCUUUAAUGUUUGAUGUUCUAACGUGGACCCGU